rnacentral:rRNA from 1 species
UACGCACUCCUACGGGAGGCAGCAUGGGGAAUAUUGCACAAUGGGCGCAAGCCUGAUGCAGCCAUGCCGCGUGUAUGAAGAAGGCCUUCGGGUUGUAAAGUACUUUCAGCAGUGAGGAAGGUGGGUAUGUUAAUAGCAUAUUCAUUUGACGUUAGCUGCAGAAGAAGCACCGGCUAACUCCGUGCCAGCAGCCGCGGUAAUACGGAGGGUGCGAGCGUUAAUCGGAAUUACUGGGCGUAAAGCGCAUGCAGGUGGUUUGUUAAGUCAGAUGUGAAAGCCCGGGGCUCAACCUCGGAAUUGCAUUUGAAACUGGCAAACUAGAGUACUGUAGAGGGGGGUAGAAUUUCAGGUGUAGCGGUGAAAUGCGUAGAGAUCUGAAGGAAUACCGGUGGCGAAGGCGGCCCCCUGGACAGAUACUGACACUCAGAUGCGAAAGCGUGGGGAGCAAACAGGAUUAGUACCCUGGUAG